rnacentral:sRNA from 1 species
GCGGCCGCCAGCUCCUGCUCGGUGUCCAAAACAAAAUGGCCGCCACGUCCAGUGCUUGUCUGACCGGCUAAAAUGGCGUCUACGCAAUUACGUCAGGCGUCAGAUCCGCGCACGACUAGAGGGCGGGAAAGAUUUGAGCUACGCCUGCGCAGAGCUGAGAAGCUGAUGUUUCCUCGACUUCCAACUGGAACCUUGAACCCCCACAUUUCUGGACCUUGAGCAUUCCUCAAGUAGGAAGAUGUAAUGCACCUUGACCUCUUUCUAAAUAAGACACUUCCCCAAAUAAGGGGAGUUGAGAGUGAACAGUCUUCACGUCUCCACCCACUUCCAGAUCCCAGAGGAGACAGACAUCGGAUGGCUGAUAAUCUUCCAAUGGAAAUCCAUGGUUCAAGUGCCACCUCUUCAGGAAAGCCAUCUGACUUCAAUCAGGCAGCAGUGGAUGGUGCAGGGGAAAGAGGUGGGAAGGAGGUCCUGGGAGGGACACUGGAUGUCUUACCCCAAGCUGGGCCUUGCAGUACCUGUGGCUGGCUGUGCUAGUUGAGCCGGAAUCGACCACGGAAAUUUGACACCUCCGGGCUUGGAAGCAGCUCUCUCCUCCUUCCCCCCUGCUUAUAAACCUCAGCCCUGAGGCUCCAGC